AAAUAUCUUCCUGAGGAGUGUCACAGGUGGUCUCCAUACAAGGCCUCUUUAGUUAACUAAUUUGACGAGUACCAUUGUGUAUUUCCUCUCUCUUUGGGAGAUACACACACAUUUGUACACAGGUAAGGACCCUGAGUUGUCCUGUGCUGAGAAGGCCAGCUUGACCCAGUAUGUCCCAAAUCACUGUAUUUUUCCGUCUGUCCAUGAACAUUCCCCAGAGCUAGAGUUCCACGGCACACAGUGUCCUUUUUUUUUUUUUUUUUUUUGAGACAGAGUUUCACUCUGUUGCCCAGGCUGGAGUGCAGUGGCACCAUCUCAGCUCACUGCAACCUGCACUUCCCAGGUUCAAUCAAUUCUCCCACCUCAGCCUCCCAAGUAGCUGGAAUUAUAGAUAUGCACCACCACACCCUGCUACUUUUGUAUUUUUAGUAGAGACGGGGUUUCACCAUGUUGCCUAGGCUGGUCUUGAAUUCCUGACCUCAGGCGAUCCACUUGCCUUGGCGGGUGGGGGUUACAGGCGUGAGCCACCAUGCCCAGCCUACACAGUGUCCUUUGAGAAAUGCUCAGCCCACAUUCCAUGGGAACAAGAUCCCUCAGCAGUGAAGAUCUCAGUGCAGGAUUGAUGAGGCUCUGUGCGAAAGGCAGCAGAGGAGAAGGCGAUUUCCCUGUUCCGGGUCAGUAACAGCCAAGAUCAGAAUUAAUGUCUGUGGAAGCAGUGAUGGAAGCAGGACAGACGCUCAGUCUCAUCAGUCACUAAGUCAUCUUAAUACCUUAAUCAUAGCCUGUUUUUCACAGGCAAGAAAAUUUCUUCGGGAGAGAGUGAGCAUAGCAAGCAGGGAAUACUCUGCCAGCAGCAUCACCUAUGUGGUUACAGGGCUUAAAACUGUGAAUAUGUCCACUAAUUUAGCAAAAUGCUAUCUGCCUUUAGAGGCCGUCAGCUGCUCUUUUGCAGGGUAGGGGGUUGUAUUUAAGUGGUUUGUAAAGCCCUUGUCUCUGACAAAUUGUCAACCGACUGUAGGGAAGUUAACAGUAGUCUACUCUCUGCUGUCUCUUUUUAGCAGGGGCCAGGUUGGGGGAGAGGACUCUGAAAUGAUCAGCAAGAGGACUGCUGUUAACACUGCCUGCUUCUUCUCUGACCUGGUGGACAGCAGCCACCUCCGUCAACCUGGACUGACUUCGCAGGUCCUAGGAAGAUUCACUCGAGAGGCCUCUCCAAUGUCACGGAAGGAGUGCCAUCAGCUAGCCAUGGCCUUGCGGACAGGGGCGGCAGGACCCUCUGGAUGGUUCCACCAAGGCUGGGCCUUGUCUGGGCCGUGUCUUCCCACGGACACACUGAGACGGUCGCAGUCAUAGCGUCUGCCCCACAAGGCACUGUCUCCUCUCAGGAGCCCCCAUCACAUGAGUGGUUGCACCUUGGAAUGAAAGUUGCAGGGCUGUAGUAAAACUCCAGUUUUAACUUGCUUUAUUCCUCUUUGGGAUGCAAAGAUAAGGUCUUCCUAACCUGUCCAU
rnacentral:lncRNA from 1 species